rnacentral:rRNA from 1 species
UAAGUUAGUAGUGAAAGCGUGGGCUCAACCUCAUAUCCAUUACUAAACUACUUUGGCUAGAACAUGAGAGAGGUGGCUGGAAUUCCCUGUGUAGGAGUGAAAUCCGUAGAUAUAGGGAGGAACACCGAUGGCGUAGGCAGGCCACUGGCUCAUUGUUGACGCUCAGCCACGAAAGCGUGGGAGCGACCGGGAUUAGAUACCCCGUUAGUCCACGCCGUAAACGAUGGAUGCUA